rnacentral:rRNA from 1 species
UAGGGAAUCUUCCGCAAUGGGCGAAAGCUUGACGGAGCAACGCCGCGUGAGUGAUGAAGGUCUUCGGAUCGUAAAACUCUGUUAUUAGGGAAGAACAAAUGUGUAAGUAACUAUGCACGUCUUGACGGUACCUAAUCAGAAAGCCACGGCUAACUACGUGCCAGCAGCCGCGGUAAUACGUAGGUGGCAAGCGUUAUCCGGAAUUAUUGGGCGUAAAGCGCGCGUAGGCGGUUUUUUAAGUCUGAUGUGAAAGCCCACGGCUCAACCGGUGAGGGUCAUUGGAAACUGGAAAACUUGAGUGCAGAAGAGGAAAGUGGAAUUCCAUGUGUAGCGGUGAAAUGCGCAGAGAUAUGGAGGAACACCAGUGGCGAAGGCGACUUUCUGGUCUGUAACUGACGCUGAUGUGCGAAAGCGUGGGGAUCAAACAGG